rnacentral:misc_RNA from 1 species
GCUCAAUGAUACUCAAUAGCCGCAGGAUACCCUGUGCUAAGGUAGCAUAAUCAUUAGCCUUCUAAUUUAAGGCUUGUAUGAAAGAUUUAACAUCUUAAUUACUUUCUCCAAUUUAUAUCUCUAAUUUAUCUUAAAUAUAAAAAGAUAUUUAUUUUUUAGAAAGACGACAAGACCCUAUUGAACUUCACUUCAGUUUAGCUGGGGCAGCUAAUUAAUUAACACUUUAAUUUUUCCUUCUUCCAUAAACCAGACCCAAUCCAAUUGAUCCUAUGAUCAAGUUACCAUAGGGAUAACAGCACAAUAUAUUACUAAAGCUCUUAUUUAAUAAUUAAGCUUGUGACCUCGAUGUUGAAUUAAUAUUCUAUUUGGUGCAACCACUCNNNNNNNNNNNNNNUUCGACUUUUAAAUAAUUACAUGAUUUGAGUUCAAACCGGUGUAAGCCAGGUUGGUUUCUAUCUUCUUGCUCUCAUUCUUAGUACGAAAGGACCAGAAAAUAUUUUCAUCUUAUUGGCAGAACAUUGCAUUAGAUUUAGAAUCUAAUUAUUCUUUACAAUCACCUUUAUUAACUCCUUA